ACAGAAUGACUCUCGGCAACGGAUAUCUAGGCUCUUGCAUCGAUGAAGAACGUAGCGAAAUGCGAUACUUGGUGUGAAUUGCAGAAUCCCGUGAACCAUCGAGUCUUUGAACGCAAGUUGCGCCUGAAGCCAUUAGGCUGAGGGCACGUCUGCCUGGGCGUCACAU
rnacentral:rRNA from 1 species